rnacentral:rRNA from 1 species
CGAUGGGAACUAGGUUAAUAUUCCUAGACCAGAUGGUAGUGACGGAUUUUGUAAAUUGUUAACUCUUAAUGGAUUGAGUUAGCUACGAAGAAGUUCCAGGAAAUAGCUCCAUCAUAAGACCGUACCCUAAACCGACACAGGUGGAUUAGUAGAGUAUAUCUAGGCGCUUGAGAGAAUGAUGUUGAAGGAACUCGGCAAAAUGCCUCUGUAACUUUGGAAUAAAGAGGACCUUUUUUUGGGCAACCGUAAAAAGGUGGCACAAGCCAGGGAGAAGCGACUGUUUAUCAAAAACACAGGACUCUGCUAACACGUAAGUGGAUGUAUAGGGUCUGACGCCUGCCCGGUGCUGGAAGGUUAAUGCGAUGGGUGCAAGCCUAUUUCUGAAGCCCCAGUAAACGGCGGCCGUAACUAUAACGGUCCUAAGGUAGCGAANNNNNNNNACUCAGUGAAAUUUAAUUAUCCGUGAAGAUGCGGAGUUACCGUGGUUAUAAGGAAAUACCCCGUGCACCUUUACUGCAACUUUAUAUUGGUGUUAGGAAUAACAUGUUUAGCAUAGGAGGGAGACUUUGAAGCGAUGGCGUCAGCUGUCGUGGAGUCAUCAGUGAAAUACCUCUCUUGUUGUUCUUGAUAUCUAACUGUUUGCCGUUAUCCGGCAACAAGACAUUGUAUGGUGGGUAGUUUGACUGGGGCGGUCGCCUCCCAAAAAGUAACGGAGGCGUGCGA